rnacentral:rRNA from 1 species
UACGUAGGGUGCGAGCGUUGUCCGGAAUUAUUGGGCGUAAAGGGCUCGUAGGCGGUUUGUCACGUCGGGAGUGAAAACUCGGGGCUUAACCCCGAGCCUGCUUCCGAUACGGGCAGACUAGAGGUAUGCAGGGGAGAACGGAAUUCCUGGUGUAGCGGUGAAAUGCGCAGAUAUCAGGAGGAACACCGGUGGCGAAGGCGGGUCUCUGGGCAACAACUGACGCUGAGGAGCGAAAGCGUGGGGAGCGAACAGG